CCCUUAGAUGUCCUGGGCCGCACGCGCGCUACACUGAGUGUCUGAGAUGCGAGUCUGCCUGGUCCGGCAAGGUCUAGGUAAUCGCUAAAAGACACAUCAUGCUUGGGAUAGAUUAUUGCAAAUAUUAAUCUUGAACGAGGAAUUCCUAGUAAGCGCAAGUCAACAGCUUGCGUUGAUUACGUCCCUGCCCUUUGUACACACCGCCCGUCGCUACUACUGAUUGGAUGUUUAAGCGAGGUUCUCGAACUGCUAGCGACUUAGCUUCGGUGAGGUCGCAGUGUGGGAAGUGAACCUAGCUUUGGUGUCUAGAGGAAGUAAAAGUCGUAACA
rnacentral:rRNA from 1 species